rnacentral:rRNA from 1 species
UGGGGAAUUUUGGACAAUGGGCGAAAGCCUGAUCCAGCAAUGCCGCGUGUGUGAAGAAGGCCUUCGGGUUGUAAAGCACUUUUGUCCGGAAAGAAAUCCUUGGCUCUAAUACAGUCGGGGGAUGACGGUACCGGAAGAAUAAGCACCGGCUAACUACGUGCCAGCAGCCGCGGUAAUACGUAGGGUGCAAGCGUUAAUCGGAAUUACUGGGCGUAAAGCGUGCGCAGGCGGUUUGCUAAGACCGAUGUGAAAUCCCGGGCUCAACCUGGGAACUGCAUUGGUGACUGGCAGGCUAAAGUAUGGCAGAGGGGGGUAGAAUUCCACGUGUAGCAGUGAAAUGCGUAGAGAUGUGGAGGAAUACCGAUGGCGAAGGCAGCCCCCUGGGCCAAUACUGACGCUCAUGCACGAAAAGCGUGGGGAGCAAACAGGAUUAGAUACCCUGGUAGUCCACGCCCUAAACGAUGUCAAACUAGUUGUUGGGGAUUCAUUUCCUUAGUAACGUAGCUAACGCGUGAAGUUGACCGCCUGGGGAGUACGGUCGCAAGAUUAAAACUCAAAUGAAUUGACGGGGUCAUAGCUGUUUCCUG